rnacentral:lncRNA from 1 species
CGCGAACACACAUACGCCCUGAAGAGGACAGACUGUGCCUUUGAAGACAUACACAUAUAUAUAGGUCAUGGAAACGAAAGUAGAUAACAGUGUUACAGAGUUCCAAACAAAUUGCCACUAGGAGCGGUACCGCAUUGGGGACCAUAUGCGGGGACUUAGCACUGCAAGAAUGUGUGCUUCCGCUUAGCAAUUAAAUAAGUGACGUUGAUAUUGCAACUAGCAUCUGUUUUCGCCCCCGGAAGAGAGUCCUCUUUCAGAAAACAUGCCUAUCCUCGUACGACACGCUUCGUUAAUUUUCGGUCUACGAUCUAUGUUCCAUCAGGAUCUCAGGCUGGUAUAAUACUUCCAACAUUAGCCGAAAAGAUAACCUUGUAGAUACCAUGUUGCGGCAGUAUCUCGCGUGGCUUGGCCCAUACAGCUGAACCGGCUUAAGCGAAGAUACACACCUAUAUUUUCACUCGCGACGGAAACGGCCACUUGCCUUUCUUCGCAUUUUGACAUCUUAACCCAUGAGCUGUCAGUGCAGCUCAUUCACAUUGAUAGCCACGUGGAGGCAUAAGAACGCGUUUUGGCCUUUUGAUUUAAACAGUUUAGUGUACCAGGCGUUUCGAAGCAUCGACGUGUGCUGCAGAGAUAUGCUGGCAGAAGCAACGGAUGACUCCUGUUUCACGAGUCCGGUGUCUGUUCCGUAGGCACUUGAUCCUGAAUGAUUUUUUUGCUUGCAACGCGUUAUCGUCGAGACUUUCCCUGAUUCGUUUAUUUGUGCAUGCUAGUCGAUGUAUCGACAUCAGAGCACGAUCGGUGUCCGUGUGGAUACAGAAGAGCGUUCCUGCGCCUUUGAGAAUACAUCUUUGUGUCAGGUCCUACUGAAAGAUUUGCAAGAGAAGUCACGAUCGGUUUGAGACUGAAUCAAUCUACUGCGGCGGAGUCGUUGUGAAAAUAAUGCACGCAGCCCACUAAAAAACGACCACUGGCUGACCCCAGCGGAACGAAGCCGUAGAUGCGUGACAACCGACGCCAAGAGGAAGAGAGGACCAGUAGACAGACCGAGUGUGAAAGGAAUCAAAGAUGGGAGCCGAUUACAGGCGAGGGAACCCACUUUUUGUGUAUAGUAGACCCAAUAAGACUGCCAGGUCUGUUGCGUUUUUCACGCUACGCAGGAAGGGUGCCAUAAGGAGACAGGCGAGAAAACGACG